GUACUUACUCCUACGGGAGGCAGCAGUGGGGAAUAUUGGACAAUGGGCGAAAGCCUGAUCCAGCAAUGCCGCGUGAGUGAUGAAGGCCUUAGGGUUGUAAAGCUCUUUUACCCGGGAUGAUAAUGACAGUACCGGGAGAAUAAGCUCCGGCUAACUCCGUGCCAGCAGCCGCGGUAAUACGGAGGGAGCUAGCGUUGUUCGGAAUUACUGGGCGUAAAGCGCACGUAGGCGGCUUUGUAAGUUAGAGGUGAAAGCCUGGAGCUCAACUCCAGAACUGCCUUUAAGGCUGCAUCGCUUGAAUCCGGGAGAGGUGAGUGGAAUUCCGAGUGUAGAGGUGAAAUUCGUAGAUAUUCGGAAGAACACCAGUGGCGAAGGCGGCUCACUGGACCGGUAUUGACGCUGAGGUGCGAAAGCGUGGGGAGCAAACAGGAUUAGAUACCCCUGUAGUCCAGGCAU
rnacentral:rRNA from 1 species